rnacentral:rRNA from 1 species
UACGAAGGGUGCAAGCGUUAAUCGGAAUUACUGGGCGUAAAGCGUGCGCAGGCGGUUUUGUAAGUCUGUCGUGAAAUCCCCGGGCUCAACCUGGGAAUUGCGAUGGAGACUGCAAGGCUGGAGUCUGGCAGAGGGGGGUAGAAUUCCACGUGUAGCAGUGAAAUGCGUAGAGAUGUGGAGGAACACCGAUGGCGAAGGCAGCCCCCUGGGUCAAGACUGACGCUCAUGCACGAAAGCGUGGGGAGCAAACAGG